rnacentral:rRNA from 1 species
AUGGAGGACCUACCGGAGGCUCUGGUGACAGAGAUUCUCAAGAGGAUCACCAGCACAAGUGAUCUGAAUUCUCUUUCCCUUGUGUCAAAGCAGCUCUACAAGAUAGAGGGGAAUCAGAGAGGUUCUAUCUAUGUUGGUUCUGGUCUUUGCACUGCUACGAAAGCACUGACAUCAUUGUGCGCCCGGUUCCCAAAUUUGCGAAAAGUGGAAAUUGAUUACUCUGGUUUUAUACCUGGACAUGGAAAGCAGUUGGACAACAAAGGCCUUUUUGUGUUUUCAUCUCACUGUUCCUCGCUGACUGACCUCACCUUAAGCUUCUGCUCAUGCAUCGAUGAUUCUGGGCCUCGUUGUUUAGCUUAUUGCAAGACAUUGGUGUCUCUCAGGCUGAACUCUGCACCAAAAAUAACGUCAAUUGGGCUUUUCUCGGUCGCAGUUGGUUGCACAAGUCUAUCUGCCCUUCACCUUAUUGAUUGCGAGAAAAUUAACAGUGUAGAGUGGCUGGAAUACCUUGGUAGGGAUGGAUCAUUGAAAGAGCUUGUAGUGAAGAAUUGCAAAGGAAUCAAUCAUCGUGACUUCCUAAAGUUUGGUUCAGGAUGGAUGAAGCUCCAGAAGUUUGAGUUUGAGAGGAAAAGAGGAAUAGAUGAUCGUCUUCUAGGUGAUAUGGUCUAUGACUCCUCGUACAAUGCUCAUAGCACGGAUAUAUAUGAUUUCUGUUGUGAGAGUUUGAAGGAUUUGAGAUUAGCGCAUAUUAAAACUUGGCCAGAAGAUUUAAGGUUGGCGCAUAUUAAAACUUGGCCAGAAGUAGGACUUCGUGCUGUACUAGGGAAGUGUAAAGCAUUGGAGAAGCUUUGCCUUGAGUAUGUUCAAGCCCUAAAUGACAAUGACAUGAUUGCCUUAUCUCGGAGCUGCAGCAACCUUAAAAGCAUCUCACUUUGGCUCAACCUGCAGAGGUACUCUAGUGAUAUCAGCUAUUGUGAUACCAGGACGUCAUUUACUGAUAACAGCCUUUAUGCUCUAGCCCUCAACUGUCCAAUGCUUCAGAUCGUAGACCUCAGCUUUACAGGAUGUGCUGCUGACUGGCCAUCAGAAAUAGGAUUCACACAACAAGGUUUUCUGGUGCUCAUUCAGUCCUGCCCGAUUCGUGUUCUCGUGCUAAAUACUGCCAACUUCUUUGAUGACGAGGGGAUGAAGGCCCUUUCAUCCUCACCAUACCUGGAGAUACUCGAGCUUAUAUUGUGUGAAGCGGUAACUGAUGCUGGGAUGUGCUUCAUUGGAUAG